AGAAAUCCCAUCAGAAGAAACACAGCGCCGAUGGCAUACAGUGUGCGGACCAUCCUAUAGAGAGGAAGUUGAGGAAAUAAAGCACAGUUGUGGAUUGCAGAUAUCAACAGGAAUCAGCUUACUGACAUCAGGAGUGCUCCUCCUGAUUUAAUCAAGUGGAAGGAGUGAUUUUAUGCCUUGCUAGGAUUUAUGACAUAGUUAUCUGCAAUACCAGAGGAAUCCAUUCUACAUGUUCCUUUGUCAGACUUCGAAGCUUUGUACAACUCCUUGCAUAAUGCACACCCAAAAGAGUGUGCAGGCUCUAUCUACCUGUUAUGUGAAUACAGCAUCCCAAGCUCUGCCACGCUGCACCUCUGAACUGAUCCACUGAGUCUGAAUGUAAUGAAACCUAGGGUGAGUAAGAGAUGUGCACAAGAUAGGCAAUUAAUAUAAAUUGAUAUUUAGGUAUAGAUUAAAAGAGAUGCAUCUGUACUUUCAAAUUACACCUUCUUACAUUAUUCUGAAUCUUUGGCAGGCAGAUUACACAGAAGCAGUCAUAAACGUCUGUGUUUUAUUCAUUACAUCCACCAUGAUAGCGAAAGGACAUAAGGACAGUAAGAUUUCAUAUAUGACAUUAAGAACCGUAAGAUGACAGUAUCAUAAAAGAAUGUUGAUUGUGCACAAAAAAAAAAGAACUUCAAGAAGUGCCAAAAGCAGCGACAAUCAAGUUCCUUAAAAGUACAUUCCUGCUCCAAACCUAGUUACCAGCCUACCUACCUUCCUUAGUCUUUAUGACCCAGGUAUCUUCCACCAGUUCUAUUGCUUCCCAGAGCUCCAAGCUUUUUGGGCUGCUGGGUCAACUCAAGACCCACCACUCAGAAAAUGACCUGCCAUGCUCCUUCCUGUUCCCAAAGUACCAUGGUAUCCAAAUUGUUUUGGAAAGCAAGGGCUGUGGCAGCAAGCAAGACAGACUGGGGCGGGAGGAUCUCAGGAGACCUUCACUGUAGGGAGUUUGGAAGACAGUCACCAGAAAUGGGAAGCUCAGGCAAUAAAAAGGGGAAGAAUUGUGAAUAAAAAAUGAGGAAGUCAGUGUCCUCUACCUUUUUGGAGUGCUGCAGUCACAUCCCUUAUUUAACAUAUUUUAUCAGUAAAGAUGAAUUACUGUUUGAACUGAAGAUUCCUGCUUGUCCUGCUGCCCAGCCAAUGUAUGUGAAACCAAGGGCCGUGUCCUUGGUAGGCAGAUAGAUGGCAAAGUGCCAGCCCUGGAAGAGCCCCCUGGAGACUCAGCGGAAGUUCAGGGUAUUGUGUCAUUUGCUGCACAAGAUGUUUUUUAAUUUCUAAGUUACUCGGUCUUUCCAGUCACACAGAAAGAGUAAGUUUUGGUUUAUGCUGUUCAGAAAGUAUUUCUCACCAAAGGGACUGGAAAAGGAAUUCCUGGAGUGGAAAAGUGUCAUAGGAGGUUCCUGUUGUAUGUAGGGAUUGCUUGUGGAGCUAAUGUUUUAUGUGUUUGUCUACAGACUGUUAAUAUACUGGACCUUAUAAUGUGCAUGAUAAAUAUCUGCAUUUAUUUUAUUCAUUUAGAUUUAUUUACCAGUAGCCAUUUAUUUUGUUCAUUUCAGCUUAGUACCAGUAUGUCCUACGUUUGGAAGAAGCUUCAGACUUCAAGAGAGGGCUGUAAGCACAGUGCCUUUACUGACUCCAGCAGGCAGCUUGGAAGGGCUGCUCUAAACAUCUAAGUGCAAUACUGCACAGAACAUGCUAUUUUAAUAACUUACGGCUCUGACAUAGAACAAAAAACGUUGGGAAUUCUAAUUGAAGACUAAUGCAGUAUAAUUUCAAGUGUCAGCUUGGACUUCAUAUUGGCUGUUUUUUUCCCAUUUCUGAUACCGCCUCAAUGUUAUUUAAGCAUGUUUCUUUUUGGUCUCCAUGUUCUGUCUGUAAAAUAUUUUUUUAAAAUACAGUUAUAAAACACCACUUAUUUCCUCAAGUGACCAGAAUGACUCUUUCCAAAACUAUUCUUAUUUCUCUGGUGACUGUAUACCCACACUGUAUUUAGACAGUAUGCAUGUUAUUUACUCAACAUGGUGCCAGAACCUUAGAAGAAAAAAAAAGUCAUUGCAUCCAACCAAAAAUAAAUUGCUAGUUUCUAAGCAGUGCCAGGAAA